UACGUAGGGUGCAAGCGUUGCCCGGAUUUAUUGGGCGUAAAGGGCGCGUAGGCGGGUGCUCAAGUCCGUGGUGAAAUCCUCCGGCUCAACCGGAGAACUGCCUCGGAUACUGGGCGUCUCGAGUGUGGUAGGGGUAUGCGGAACUAUCGGUGGAGCGGUGAAAUGCGUUGAUAUCGAUAGGAACUCCGGUGGCGAAGGCGGCAUACUGGACCACCACUGACGCUGAUGCGCGAAAGCCAGGGGAGCAAACGGG
rnacentral:rRNA from 1 species